UUGAAAUCAUCCACACCACAAUAAGUAUGGCGGCAGCGGUGGCAAAGUAAAAAAUCUGCAAAUUCAUAACCGGUUGAUCCUAUGGCAAUAGAGUGUUGUGGGCUUUGAUACCAAAUUGAUGAGCAGAGGAAUACAGGGGAGGAGAAAAAGAAAUGCAACAGGACAAGAAUAUGAAGGAGGAGAGAGAGUUGCAGAGAGAGGGAGAUGAAAUGAUAUUCUGAAAUUCUACAAAUAACCAAGUCUGGAAUCCAGUAAAUCAAACCUAUUAUUGACGGGGCAAACCCGGAAAGGAAAUAAAUCUCUAUCAAAUUAUGCCUAGAAAUAGGGAAAUUACAAAAUUAAAGCCCUAAAUUAAUCAACAAUUUAUUUUGAAAUUCAGCAUUUCGUUUACGUCUAGAAACAUUUAUAACUCCCUGAUCAUGAUUCCCACCACCACUUCUUAUCUAUCAUUUGUUGGCCAUCCUACAUUUGUGACAUGAUUGCAACUUUGGUAUGUUUUUUUGCACAGCUGCUCAUUUUCAUUUGGAUAUUGUGGUUGUUGAUCUGGCUUGCUUGAAUAGCUGCUGUUUGGUUCUGAACCUUACACUAAAUUCCUUUCUAUGUUCUGUGUUUGAAGUGCAUCCUUGUGACAUUGUGUUUUAGUUUUCAUUCCUCUUCUCCCAAUUUAUCGCUUUAGUGUUUCGUGGGAAUUGUUUUUGUGCAUGCAUUAUUGAUGUGACAUCUUUGGAAAAAAAACUGAGUGUAUGCCCGAGUAAAAUAUAGCUUUGCAAAGAUUUGACUAUCACUUGCCUAAUUCUGCCUAGGUACCUCUCAACACCAAAACUGAGGCUCCCAAGCCUUCUCUUACUCCUGAAGAAACAAAGAUGAAAGCACAGGAACUAAAGGAGCAAGCUCGCAAGAAGAAAGAAGAGGAAGAGAAGCGAAUGGAAAGAGAGAGGGAGAAGAAAACGCUGAUACCCUAGUGAAUUAUGUAUUGCUACACACAUUCCGAAACAUGGUACUCUUCCGUUCCAAAAUGGAGAGGAUUCGAGUGGGCAAAGAACUUCUUGAUGCGAAGCGCAUUGAGGAAGAAAAUGAAAGAAAAUGUGUGGUGGCCUCGUGGAAAGCUGAGAAAGAGGAAGAGAAAAGAGCUAGGGAGAAAAUUCGACAAAAAUUGGAAGAGGAUAAGGUCCUGAUAGUGUCUUGUUGUUCUGUUUUAUAUGCUAAUACAAAUACUCAAAAUUAGCAUGGUGGAUUGAUAAUUCAUUAUUUACAGUAGAGCACUUUAUUUGUGAUUCAACUUAGAUUUUAUCGAGGGGUCUGACGGUGAAAAUCUUAAAAAGUAUAUUUCAACCAAUAUAUGGAAGGAAAGGAUAUGUGCUGAGAAUUGCUCAGACAUGUAAGAAGAUUUAGUUUGAAACGUCUAGUAACCAGAAAACGAACAAUAAUAGAAAACAAUCACCAUGUGUGAAGUCAAUGUUUGGCUAUGGUUGUAAAAUAAAGUGUUUCCACCAUGAGAGCUAUAUGUGAGAAUUAGGCUAGCAAGCCAUGGACCAAACAUUGAUGAAAUAAGGAAUAUGGUGAAAGUUGGAACAUUUGGACAGGCACAUAUGGGAGGGAGAACCUUCUGAGUAGGCUAAUGAAGGUAGAAAGGAAGAGGGAGUGAGUGGAAAUCGUCAAGCGGUGCCUUGCAUUCUUCCAAGUCUUCCUUUGUUUAAGGCAUGAAACAAAUGGUUGUAUCAGGAACAAGAUAUCCCUUUGUAAUUUC